rnacentral:rRNA from 1 species
UACGUAGGGGGCAAGCGUUGUCCGGAUUUACUGGGUGUAAAGGGCGCGCAGGCGGAAUAUCAAGUCAGAGGUGAAAUCCUACAGCUUAACUGUAGAACUGCCUUUGAUACUGUUAUUCUUGAGUUCGGGAGAGAGAGACGGAAUUCCAGGUGUAGUGGUGAAAUACGUAGAUAUCUGGAAGAACACCAGUUGCGAAGGCGGUCUCUUGGUCCGAUACUGACGCUGAGGCGCGAAAGCGUGGGGAG